rnacentral:rRNA from 1 species
CGCGGUAAUUUGACCGUGCUAAGGUAGCAUAAUCAUUUGUCUUUUAAUUGAAGACUGGAAUGAAAGGUAAAACGAGAAAUAAGCUGUCUUUAUAAAAUAAAUUGAAUUUUAUUUUUUAGUGAAAAAGCUGAAAUGAUUUUGUGGGACGAUAAGACCCUAUAGAUCUUAAUUAUUAUUAAUAUUUAUUUAUUAAUUUUUAAUUUUAUUGGGGCGAUGAAAAGAAAUAAAUAUCUCUUUUAUAAUAAAAAUAUAAAUAAAUAGAUUGUAUUUGGAUCCUAUCAGGUGGAUUAAUAGAAUAAGUUACCUUAGGGAUAACAGCGUAAUAUUUUUUGAGAGUUCUUAUCGAAAAAAAUGUUUGCGACCUCGAUGUU